AAGGUUUCCGUAGGUGAACCUGCGGAAGGAUCAUUAUUGAAUGAACUUGGUGUGGUUGUCGCUGGCCCUCUUGGGGGCAUGUGCACACCUACCAUUCUCAUCUCUCCACCUGUGCACCUCUUGUAGAUUUGGAAUUGAUUAUCCGAGGCAACUCGGUCGUGAGGACUGCUAGCACUUAGCCGGCUUUCUUUGCAAUUCCAGGUCUAUGUUUUUCAUAUACCCCAUUGUAUGUAACAGAAUGUAUCAUUGGGCCCUUGUGCCUAUAAACCUUAUACAACUUUCAGCAACGGAUCUCUUGGCUCUCGCAUCGAUGAAGAACGCAGCGAAAUGCGAUAAGUAAUGUGAAUUGCAGAAUUCAGUGAAUCAUCGAAUCUUUGAACGCACCUUGCGCUCCUUGGUAUUCCGAGGAGCAUGCCUGUUUGAGUGUCAUUAAAUUCUCAACCAUUAUCAACUUUUGCUGAUAAUGGCUUGGAUGUGGGGGUCUAUUUUGCUGGCUUCUCAGAUAGUCAGCUCCCCUUAAAUGCAUUAGCCGGUGCCCCGCGUGGACUGUCUAUUGGUGUGAUAAUUAUCUACGCUAUAGACAUCYGCAAUCAUAUGGGUUUGCGCUGCUUCUAACAGUCUGUUGAUUCAGACAAUACAUGACAAUUUGACCUCAAAUCAGGUAGGACUACCCGCUGAACUUAA
rnacentral:rRNA from 1 species